ensembl:lncRNA
AUUUCUUCUCCUCUUAAACAUGCUGAUGUUUGUGCCACAUCCUCUGAGUACCCUCUGUAGGUGAAGACAGAUUACAGAGGGGAGCAGAACACAACCUUCAGAUACAGGUCUCCAUGGGAGCCAUAUGAAGACUCAAGGUAGGUGUGUGUGUGUGUGUGUGUGUGUGUGUGUGUGUGUGUGUGUGUGUAAGGGGCUGACUUCUGCAUAGCCUAUACUGUCCUCCUGGCACAGGAGAAGUACCACCUGAUAUGAGACUUCAAUCAAAAUGAUUGAUCUCCCCAAACCCUGAAAAUAUUUCUGUUACUUCCAGAAUUUAUUGUUUGAAUAAAUUGAUAUAUUUAAUGUAAUGAUUUAAAUGUGACAUUUAAUCUAAGUUGAUCUAACAUAAUGCUUAAUCCUUUUCUUCCUGCCUCAGGAUGUCUAAUUUCACCAGAUGAGCAGUUUCACUUUAAAUGGAGGAAAGUUUCCCUGAGUUAUAUCUUAGGUCAUUUCUCUGUCCCUCCAGGAACAUCAGCUGUCUGAGAUGACCACUUGCUUCUCUGCUUUUUAUUUCCUGUGACCACUUUCACAGCUGUGGAUUCUGUUUUGCAUUCUAGCUUAGCUUCAGGUUCACUUGUGAAGUCACCGGCAUAAAGAUCUGCUGGCCUCUGUCUCCUGGGUACUGGGGUUAAAGUAUGUGUCACUGUACUCUGCUUGGCACCACUUUUUUUUUUUAAUGCAAACUGCAUGAGGCUUCAUUGUUGUUUAACGAGCUAACCCCAUGUUAGCUCCGGUCUUUCAUCCACCCGCCAUGGCGGAUGGCUAGCAAAGACAGUUCAAAGCGGCUGCAUAGAGAUCUUAUAGGGCAGCGUAAGGGGAGUGUCUAGGGGUAUGCACAGGCUCAGGACUGGUGUGCCUCCAGGCUUGGAGGGCUUGCCCUGUGUUGAUUGGUCAACUGGUUGUUACGGCCCAUAGACCCUCCCAGGGUGGUUGCUGUGCUCUGCGUGUCAUUGCUGUGCGCUUGUCCGUAAAGCACACCCAGAGCCGUAAAGCAUAGCACCACCAGCUAACUUCUGAUUGGUUCCUUGCCACGAGGCAGGCACCUAACCUCUAGUGACCAAGGCAAGGUCAUGGUAAGCACAUGUUACUGUCAUGGCUUUGGCACCACUUUUUAAUAGCUUCUUUGAGAUGUGACUGACACGUAACACAGUGCCCAUAUUUAAAGUGUAGAUUCCAGGGCUAGUAAGAUGGUUCAGAGGUAAAAAGUGCUUGUGAUACAAGUCUGAGGCUCUGAAUUGGAUCCCUGGAGCCCACAGUGGAAGGAGAAAACUGACUCUACACAGGGCACACACACACUCUCCCCACCACCACAAAAACACACACAAUAAGUAUAAUAUAAUAGUAGCAAUCAUAACUAAUGAAGUAAAUAAAAGCAACUGAAAAAUUUAAAGUAUAAAUUUAGUCACAAAGACAUUGCUGCCAUCCAGUCCCUGGCAGAGCCAUCCUCCAGGCUCUUUCUCCUGUCGCUCUAUCCACUGUUCUAACUAAUUGUGCUGGCUAGUUUUAUGCCAACACAAGCUAGAGUCAUUGAAGAGCAGAGAGCCUCAACUGAUAAAAUGCCUCCAUUAGAUCAGGCUGCAGGCAAGGGCAUUUUCUUAAUUAGUAAUCAAUAUGAGAGGGCCCAGCCCACUGUGGGUGAUUCCAUUCUUGGUCUGGUGUUCCUAGGUUCUACAAGAAAGCAAGCUGAGCAAGCCAUGAAGAGCAAGGCCGUAUGCAGCACCCCUCCAUGGCCUCUGCAUCAGCUCCUACCUCCCUGCUUGAGUUUUGGCCCUGACUUUCUUCAAUAAUGAACAGCAAUGUGGAAGUGGAAGCCAAAUAAACCAUUUCCUCCCCAA